rnacentral:lncRNA from 1 species
AUACUUUUUUUUUGGUCUCCAAAUAUUCCUAAUGUUAUUUAUUUCAUGAGAACUCUCCUUUUUUUUAUUAGGACCAUAAGGAUGAUAUUAAGUAUAUUGGAAAGGGGAUCCUCCCCAUUUUUUCUUGCACAUAACAAGGAUCUUAGAACAGGAGCUAUGGAAAUGAAAAGAUUGUGUUAGAUACAGAUGUUCCUGGGAUGAAAAGAACAUUAAGCUACCUCAUGUCCAUGGCUGGUGAGAUCUCAGAAAAUAUAGGAGCAGCAGGCACCUCAUAAAACAAAAGUUGCUGCAGCCUGGGAUACAAUGUCAGUCAAUUCUAUGAGCAAGAGUUGUGAUGAAACUGAGUGACUGCACAGGUGACACACCCAUGAAGCCAGCUUGCCUGGGAUAGGGCACAAGAUGAUGCCAUCCAAAUUUCUCACUUCAUAGUUGCUAAAGAGGAAAAUGAGGAUCUACAAGAACUUACUACAUAGUCUUAGAUCAUUCAAUACAGAAGAUUAUAACUUUCUAUAAAGAACUCAUUUUAAGUGCCCACUGGGCAGCUGGGAGCCCUUCCUGGUGCAGUGUCCCUCCAGUGCGUGGUCUUCAGAAAGUUGAUCAUGGUGCUCACUGUGAAGAAGAGAUGCUUAAAGGGAUGCUGUCCAUUGUUUGGAAGGUGAGCUUGGAACUGAUUGGCAUCACACUGAAAACUGGAAUGUAUAGUCACCUCAGGAACCCUAGGAAGUUAGUAGCGUGUUGUCCCUUUGUGUUGUCCCCUUUUUUUUUAAUGCACGAAUUCAGUUUGUUUUAAAAAGGUAUUUUAAAUCUGUGAGUAAAGAAUGACCCAUUCAACAGAUGGUACAGAGACAAAUGACUACCCCUUUAGGAAAAAAAAGUUGCCUCCCAUAAAAAAUAAAUUUCAGACAAGUUAGAUAUACA